GUCAAAUAAAAAAAAAUUAUUUUCCAAAAAAUUUAAAAAAACUGCAAAUGUUUUCAUCCUUUGGCGCUGAACUAUUUUUCCUUUCCCUCUCUUCUCCCAAAACCAGAUUUAACACAGUACCCUCUCAAAACCAGUACCCACAUCGAUCCAGACAACCCUUCUUCCUCUCAUCGUCGACCAAAACCAAUUUUCAUAUGAUCACAAAAAUGAAACCCUUCAAGCCCUAAACUAUCAUCUCAUCUUCUCACCGAACCCUUCAAACCCUAACCCUGUAAUCUCUACCCAUGGAUUCAUCUUAAUAGAAUCAUAACCCAUCAUCUCGUUCGAACUAAUCCACCAAACCCAUCAUCUCAACUUCUCAUCGAACCCUUUUCUGAAAGCGGCGAACUCGUAUGCAUUUCGUUUGAUUUGUUAUUACUGGGUUUGAAGGUAUUGAAUGCUGCGGCCUUUUUGCCUAAUCUAUGCUAAUAAGGGAAAUGGCUUCUAAUAAUGAUGAAUGUGGUGUGACUCAGUUGCAAAAAAUUCACAGCCAAAAGCAAUCAGCAGUUUGGCGUUAAUAAAUAUUAGUGAUACUUUAGAGAUGGAAUUGGACAUGAUUUGUUGCUAAUUUUGGUUCAAUGGAAAGCAAGAGGUCAACCAAUCAAGCAUAAGAACAAGGAUUUUGCUAGUUUCGUUGGUGUCACAGUUCUUCACUUAGUUCCGAUUGCUAACAUUGGUGUCACAUUUGGGAUGACAUUCAAUUCGAAGGUUGGAAGUUCUAGUCUUAAUCUGUGGCUAUGAGAGCUGGUCACUUUGGAAUUUUUUGGUUCGGCUGCUGUUGCGUGGGAUGGGCAGUGCUUCGGUUGGAAGUUGUUCCUAGUUUCUGCUGUUUUGUUGUCCUUGUUUUUUAGGUGAUAUUUCUUUUGUUAAGGGGAUAUGAGUAAAUUGUUUCGAAUUGAGCACCGUUGUAUUCUAUUGGAAAAUUUGGCUAUGUAAUACCCUUUUUUUUAUGUUAUCUGUAGACAGGUUUUGGAUCUUAUCAUAUUAUAUAUGCAAUAAGUAAAUAAAGUUUUAUUUGAUAUUGGAAA